rnacentral:lncRNA from 1 species
UCUCAUACUAAAUUACUAUGUAUUUAUGUUACUAUAUUGCUAUUGUAAUCUUACCAAUUAUUAUUAUUAUCUAAAUUAGAAGUGGUGUUGCCUAUAUUUGCUUUAAAACCUACAUAUUUUUUUUGUUGUAUUAACCUUUGCUAGAAAAAUUCGGUUAGUUCAGUAAGAACCAGAAUCGAACCGAAAUAACCGAGAACCGAAAUGCUCGGUUCCUAUUUUUUUUGGAACAGAUCAGUUCUUAUGUUCUAGGAACCGAAUUUCAUAAAUAACCAAGGAACCGAACCGAAACUAAACCGCCGAGAACCGAAUGCCCACCCUGAGCCUCUACCAACUACUCACAAGUGCUGGGCUUAACACUGUCACUGACACAAAAUAUGUAUAUGUGGAGCUGAAUUUUUCAUAUAUCAAUAUUGUGGUAUAAAUGGGUGAUUUUUAGACAUAUAUAGGACUAUUUUGAAUUUGUUUUGGUCAUGGAAAAGAAAAUAUUUUAGGUGAAGAUUUAAAGAUAACUAUAGGUUGUUUUUAAUAAUGAUAUGUGUAGAUAAUUUGUAUGUAGAAUUAGAGGGUUACUAUAGUAAGUACUAUAGAUGAAGAUUAUGUUGUUAUUUAUAGUUUUUAUAAUUGAAGAAGGGUUAUAUAGAGUCCUUCGACUAUUAUUUUUAAUAAUUGUUAGAGUCUACUGAAUUGAUGACUCGAUUUCUAAUCUUUUAAAGGAUAUUAAGUUUUUAUUUUUCCCUAAAAUGUCUUGUGAGGGUUAUUAUG